rnacentral:rRNA from 1 species
CAACGCCGCGUGAGGGAUGACGGCCUUCGGGUUGUAAACCUCUUUUAGUAGGGAAGAAGCGAAAGUGACGGUACCUGCAGAAAAAGCACCGGCUAACUACGUGCCAGCAGCCGCGGUAAUACGUAGGGUGCAAGCGUUGUCCGGAAUUAUUGGGCGUAAAGAGCUCGUAGGCGGUUUGUCGCGUCUGCUGUGAAAUCCCGAGGCUCAACCUCGGGUCUGCAGUGGGUACGGGCAGACUAGAGUGUGGUAGGGGAGAUUGGAAUUCCUGGUGUAGCGGUGGAAUGCGCAGAUAUCAGGAGGAACACCGAUGGCGAAGGCAGAUCUCUGGGCCAUUACUGACGCUGAGGAGCGAAAGCAUGGGGAGCGAACAGGAUUAGAUACCCUGGUAGUCCAUGCCGUAAACGUUGGGCGCUAGAUGUGGGGACCAUUCCACGGUUUCCGUGUCGUAGCUAACGCAUUAAGCGCCCCGCCUGGGGAGUACGGCCGCAAGGCUAAAACUCAAAGGAAUUGACGGGGGCCCGCACAAGCGGCGGAGCAUGCGGAUUAAUUCGAUGCAACGCGAAGAACCUUACCAAGGCUUGACAUAUACCGGAAACGUUCAGAAAUGUUCGCCCCGCAAGGUCGGUAUACAGGUGGUGCAUGGUUGUCGUCAGCUCGUGUCGUGAGAUGUUGGGUUAAGUCCCGCAACGAGCGCAACCCUCGUCGUAUGUUGCCAGCACGUAAUGGUGGGAACUCAUAUGAGACUGCCGGGGUCAACUCGGAGGAAGGUGGGGAUGACGUCAAAUCAUCAUGCCCCUUAUGUCUUGGGCUUCACGCAUGCUACAAUGGCUGGUACAAUGG